AAAUUAGUUUCAGACCAUAAAUGC
rnacentral:siRNA from 1 species